CAAGUCGAGGGGCAGCAUGGGUGUAGCAAUACAUCUGAUGGCGACCGGCAAACGGGUGCGGAACACGUACAGAACCUUCCUUCGAGCGGAGAAUAGCCCGGAGAAAUCCGGAUUAAUACUCCAUAGUAAAUUGAAAAGGCAUCUUUUUAAUUUUAAAGAUUUAUCACUUGAAGAUGGCUGUGCGCCUGAUUAGGUAGUUGGCGGGGUAACGGCCCACCAAGCCUACGAUCAGUAACUGGUGUGAGAGCACGACCAGUCACACGGGCACUGAGACACGGGCCCGACUCCUACGGGAGGCAGCAGUAAGGAAUAUUGGUCAAUGGACGCAAGUCUGAACCAGCCAUGCCGCGUGGAGGAUGAAGGUCCUCUGGAUUGUAAACUUCUUUUAUCUGGGAAGAAACCCAUGGAUUCUUCUGUGGUUGACGGUACCAGAUGAAUAAGCACCGGCUAACUCCGUGCCAGCAGCCGCGGUAAUACGGAGGGUGCAAGCGUUAUCCGGAUUCACUGGGUUUAAAGGGUGCGUAGGUGGGUUGGUAAGUCAGUGGUGAAAUCUCCGGGCUUAACCCGGAAACUGCCAUUGAUACUAUCAGUCUUGAAUACCGUGGAGGUCAGCGGAAUAUGUCNUGUAGCGGUGAAAUGCUUAGAUAUGACAUAGAACACCAAUUGCGAAGGCAGCUGGCUACACGAAUAUUGACACUGAGGCACGAAAGCGUGGGGAUCAAACAGGAUUAGAUACCCUGGUAGUCCACGCCCUAAACUAUGGAUACUCGACAUUUGCGAUACACUGUAAGUGUCUGAGCGAAAGCAUUAAGUAUCCCACCUGGGAAGUACGAUCGCAAGAUUGAAACUC
rnacentral:rRNA from 1 species